rnacentral:miRNA from 1 species
UUUCCGGUCUCCAGAAGUGCCU